GGAAUAUUGGGAAUGGGCGAAAGCCUGACCCAGCAACGCCGCGUGAGUGAUGAAGGCCCUCGGGUUGUAAAACUCUUUUGCAGGGGACGAUGAUGACGGUACUCUGCGAAUAAGCCACGGCUAACGACGUGCCAGUAGCCGCGGUAAUACGUAGGUGGCAAGCGUUGUCCGGAUUUACUGGGCGUAAAGGGCGUGCAGGCGGUCUGUUUAGUCUAGGGUGAAAGCUCCCGGCUCAACUGGGAGAGGUCCUUGGAUACUGGCAGACUUGAGGGAGGUAGAGGAGAGUGGAAUUCCCGGUGUAGUGGUGAUAUGCGUAGAUAUCGGGAGGAACACCAGUGGCGAAGGCGGCUCUCUGGGCCUUACCUGACGCUGAGACGCGAAAGCGUGGGGAGCGA
rnacentral:rRNA from 1 species